rnacentral:tRNA from 1 species
AGUUUUAAUAAUUUAAUUAAAAUAUUGAUUUUGUAAAUCAAAAAUAAGUAAUACUUUUAAAAC